rnacentral:rRNA from 1 species
AUUGAACGCUGGCGGCAUGCCUUACACAUGCGAGUCGAACGGUAACAGGUCUUCGGAUGCUGACGAGUGGCGAACGGGUGAGUAAUACAUCGGAACGUGCCCGAUCGUGGGGGAUACGGAGCGAAAGCUUUGCUAAUACCGCAUACGAUCUACGGAUGAAAGCAGGGGACCGCAAGGCCUUGCGCGGACGGAGCGGCCGAUGGCAGAUUAGGUAGUUGGUGGGAUAAAAGCUUACCAAGCCGACGAUCUGUAGCUGGUCUGAGAGGACGACCAGCCACACUGGGACUGAGACACGGCCCAGACUCCUACGGGAGGCAGCAGUGGGGAAUUUUGGACAAUGGGCGAAAGCCUGAUCCAGCCAUGCCGCGUGCAGGAUGAAGGCCUUCGGGUUGUAAACUGCUUUUGUACGGAACGAAAAGACUCUUUCUAAUAAAGAGGGUCCAUGACGGUACCGUAAGAAUAAGCACCGGCUAACUACGUG